rnacentral:rRNA from 1 species
UACGUAGGUGGCAAGCGUUGUCCGGAUUUACUGGGCGUAAAGGAUGCGUAGGCGGACAUUUAAGUCAGAUGUGAAAUACCCGAGCUUAACUUGGGUGCUGCAUUUGAAACUGGGUGUCUAGAGUGCAGGAGAGGUAAGUGGAAUUCCUAGUGUAGCGGUGAAAUGCGUAGAGAUUAGGAAGAACACCAGUGGCGAAGGCGACUUACUGGACUGUAACUGACGCUGAGGCAUGAAAGCGUGGGGAG